AUUCAGGGGGAAGUGGCCUCAUUUUGAUCUUGUGUAUAGGCUGUGAUGUCCAAUGGACUUAAAAUAGCAAUACAGUGAUGCCUGUCUUUUAGUCCUUCCCUAUGUGUCUAGAGAAGGAAGGUUGAUGGACUAGGCUUCCUCCGAGUCCCUCGUACCUGUAAUGUGGAAGAUUGGUCCACCGGUGACGACUUGAUCCUUCGGCCGUGAAGACGUCUACCAACUAACUCAUCUGACUGGUGACCGUGAAGUCCAGCCACCUGUUGCCAACACUGCCAUGCCGAGCUGAAGAAACUGUGUGAAAACAGAGUCUGAUUGCCCAUGAAAGACAACGCCACCUUAUUGUGUAAAAAGAAAACCUGGAUUCUCCUAAGUCGGCCCCUGAAAGGGACUCUGCUGCCCGUGGGGAUGGUGGAAACGUAAACCCCGCAGCCCCUCAUCUUCUUCCAGGUGAUGCCUCAGUCACACUGGCUCCAAGGACAUGCUCCUGCCCUUGAGUGCUCUGGGUCAGACGUGGUGCCACACUGCACAUACUGGCACAAGCGACCCUCUCCUUUGCUCCGUCUCGGAAAGUCUCCAGUGCGCAAGUCCCCGUUCUUUUCCGUUGGCUCCACGAUGACCCGUUGUAUGGCUGUCCCAUAAUGUAUUUAGCCUCUCUCCUGCCGAUAGGCAUUUGGGCCAUUUCUUAUCUUUUUUUUUUUGUUCACUCCCAAAGUGUUUCAGUAAAAACAAUGAAUAACUUCCUUUGCACGUAUGUGAAGUAUGUAGGACAACUUUCUAGAAGCUGCUGGGUCAAAGAAUAGGUGCACCUCGAGUAUAAAUACAUAUUGUCAAAUUUA